rnacentral:rRNA from 1 species
GACAGAGGAUGCAAGCGUUAUCCGGAAUGAUUGGGCGUAAAGCGUCUGUAGGUGGCUUUUUAAGUCCGCCGUCAAAUCCCAGGGCUCAACCCUGGACAGGCGGUGGAAACUACCAAGCUGGAGUACGGUAGGGGCAGAGGGAAUUUCCAGUGAAGUGGUGAAAUGCGUAGAUAUUGGAAAGACCACCAAUGGCGAAAGCACUCUGCUGGGCCGACACUGACACUGAGAGACGAAAGCUAGGGGAGCGAAUGGG